rnacentral:rRNA from 1 species
GCUGGUGCCAGCCGCCGCGGUAAAACCAGCUCUUCAAGUGGUCGGGAUAAUUAUUGGGCUUAAAGUGUCCGUAGCCGGUUUAGUAAGUUCCUGGUAAAAUCGGGUAGCUUAACUAUCUAUAUGCUAGGAAUACUACUAUACUAGAGGGCGGGAGAGGUCUGAGGUACUACAGGGGUAGGGGUGAAAUCUUAUAAUCCUUGUAGGACCACCAGUGGCGAAGGCGUCAGACUGGAACGCGCCUGACGGUGAGGGACGAAAGCCAGGGGAGCGAACCGGAUUAGAUACCCGGGUAGUCCUGGCCGUAAACGAUGCAUACUAGGUGAUGGCACGGCCAUGAGCCGUGUCAGUGCCGUAGGGAAACCGUUAAGUGUGCCGCCUGGGAAGUACGUCGCAAG